rnacentral:rRNA from 1 species
AAUCUUACCGGGUCCGGACACACUGAGGAUUGACAGGCAAUAUAUGUGACUCUUCGGAGUUUGCAUUGUUAAAUAUGCUAGUCCUUUCAUGAUUAUGUGAUAGGUGGUGCAUGGCCGUUCUUAGUUCGUGGAGUGAUCUGUCUGCUUAAUUGCGUUUCAAAUUACUUAUAAGGUAGCAAUACGCGAUGAAGCUUUCAAUAGUCCUCACGGAUUCACUUGAGUCUCUCGCUUCGCUAUCCUUUCGAAUGCAACGAACGUGACCGCAACCUCUUGUUGCCUUCGUUUAACAUCCUGCAGCUCGCUGUGGGUACUGAGGGCUUCACUCGGUGACUUUGGGCUGAGCAAUCGGUCUCUUUUGAUCUGAGUAAACUAGAGGGACCGCUGUCAACUUCUUAAACCAGAGGAAGGUUGCGGCAAUAACAGGUCUGUGAUGCCCUUAGAUGUUCCGGGCUGCACACGUGCUACAAUGAUCGUAGCAGUGAGCAUCUUAUUUGAUUUACUUAACACCGCAUACGUGAGUACCAACUAGCUUAGCAAUAAGUCAAGUAGUUCUCUACGCAGCGGUAACAGCCUGCUUCGAGAGCAAGUGGGUAAUCAUUAAAGUAACGAUUUCU